ensembl:lncRNA
AUAUUUAGUUCUCUGACUUUAUUACCAAUUCCAUGGAGCACAAUGUUUUUCUUCAAAUCAUUAUGAGGAUUAUACUCAGUCUGAGAAUUUGACACCUGCUGUUUCAAAACUUGAUCACAAACAUUUCAGGAUAUAUAUCAGUUAGUACAGAAGAGAUGAAUAAGAUUCAGACUGCAAUAACGUAGGAAGAUUAAAAAAAGUCAAAAUAAAUAUUAUUCCCAGUAAGUAAAAUAAGUCGAAACAGUUAUCCAGAAUCUGGAGUGAAUAUGUUACGUGUGUUUAAAUUAGUAUUAUCAAAUAUACAACAGAGUGCUAAAAAAAAAAAAAAAAAAAAACCCACAACAAAAAACAAGACUCCUACUAGCAGAGGAAGUAAUAUUGUUUGAAUCCCUUAACAAACUGUCAGUACGAAAGCAGCAAGACUACAGGAUACAGCUGAUGGUUAGAUGGUUAAGCUCACAACACCAGAAAUGCUUGAAUGAGAAAGAAUGGAACAUCAUUAGAUGAUAAUGGGUACACAUUUUGCUUGAAGCAAUGGAUUCCUAAUGACUCCCAGGAUUGCUACAAUGCAUCAUGAGGAAGAUACUGUAUUCAAGAUACUGGUGGCUGCAAAGUAAGGGCACUGGAAAUUCAAUCAAGCUAUAUGAAUGGUUACAUUCUUCACACAAUGGCCAUGGUUUCUGUAACUAUUCCAAAAAACCCUUCAUAACACAGAGCAAUACUUGGAAUCGUUCUUUUCAUAAUAACCCUCCUUCUCUUAGGUUACAAAGUUGAAUCUGUUCCUGAUUGAUUCAAUCUAAAGGACUUGAUGUAUAGGUUCAGUACUUUCCCCAUUCGGCUCUGUUUAUUCAUACACGCAGAGCCAAGUUGGAAGAAACCAAGAGGACAAUUACUGAACAGAUUUUUCCUGUCACUAGUAUUUCCUCUUGUUCAUUUCUGGGUCUUGUCCUCCUUACAGAAGACACAUACUCCCCUCCAUGCAUGUGCCCAGGUUUACUAGAAUGAAAAACCUUUGUCAUUCACAUCAAACAUCAUUUUAUUGAUUUUUUUUUUUUUUUAAUCUUUCUACAAAGAUUAGCCACAGAAAACCGGACCUUGGCUCUUUCCCUAGCCACACUGGACACAUAUUUGCUGACAUGUCUUUUCAAUUAGACUACCCCAGAGCUGCAGAGAAACAGGAAACCGCUCUCAACCUCAAACCAAUCCAGACACCGGAAACCAGGGAUAGACAGAAGCGAGCUGCAGCUUCAUUAACAACAGUCAGAGCAGGGAAGAAAAAAGAGAAAGAAAGAAACAACAACAACAAAAACAAUACUUGCAGAAGGACAACAGAUCUUAUGUUGAUAUAUGCUGUACUGAGAGGCAUAAACCUAUCCGUUAUGCUUCCCACUUAGCUGUCUCAUGAUCUAUUCUAACACACACAGGUAGGUAGCAUUAGCAAUCAGUGAGCUAUGAGUCUGUCUUUACUGAAGUCACAUGCAGUAACAAGUUUAUUGCAAUGAAAGGAUGUGCAAACCUCUUCAGGUCCUCCUGGGAGUGUAACCAGGACGUUAGGAAGCUCUGUAUGGAGAUAUAUAUAUAUAUCCUGCCACCAAGGAAUAUACAUCUCUGUCUGGG